rnacentral:rRNA from 1 species
AUGAACGCUGGCGGCGUGCCUAAUACAUGCAAGUCGCGCGAACAGACGAGGAGCUUGCUCCUCUGACGUUAGCGGCGGACGGGUGAGUAACACGUGGAUAACCUACCUAUAAGCCUGGGAUAACUUCGGGAAACCGGAGCUAAUACCGGAUAAUAUAUUGAACCGCAUGGUUCAAUAGUGAAAGACGGUUUUGCUGUCACUUAUAGAUGGAUCCGCGCCGCAUUAGCUAGUUGGUAAGGUAACGGCUUACCAAGGCAACGAUGCGUAGCCGACCUGAGAGGGUGAUCGGCCACACUGGAACUGAGACACGGUCCAGACUCCUACGGGAGGCAGCAGUAGGGAAUCUUCCGCAAUGGGCGAAAGCCUGACGGAGCAACGCCGCGUGAGUGAUGAAGGUCUUCGGAUCGUAAAACUCUGUUAUUAGGGAAGAACAAAUGUGUAAGUAACUAUGCACGUCUUGACGGUACCUAAUCAGAAAGCCACGGCUAACUACGUG